rnacentral:lncRNA from 1 species
AUGCUAUUUGUAAACGGUAAAAAAAUUUGCCAAAUACUCUUAAGGGCAUUUUUGGAAUAGACUAUAUUUUAUUGUCAAAAUUACAGAAAUGUAUAGACUGAACUAAAUAUAAUAGUGCUAUAAACAUUGCAAUAUAUCAUUACAUUACUACAUUAAAUCAAACGCGCUAAUACAGUAUCAGUAGUAAUCACAUUUAGAAAUCGAAGAUAUCUGAAUAUAUCAAAAUACUCUGUAAAACUCUGUAAUAUAUAUAUAUAUAUAUAUAUAUAUAUAUAUAUAUAUAUAUAUAUAUAUAGAGAGAGAGAGAGAGAGAGAGAGAGAGAGAGAGAGAGAGAGAGAGAGAGAGACUGGUAUACUAUUGAUAGCACGGAGGCCUCCAUGUUACCAAGUUGUUUUCGAUAAUGUGGCUUUCAAAUCGUCGAUCGGCUCCGUUAAACAUGAUCCAUACUAUUAAAAGUAUUUGGAAACUAAAUUUCAUAAUUUUUCGAUAUCAUUUGACUAGAGAUCAAAAGGGAUUAAAAUUGAUAAUUUUACUGGUAUAUGUGAUGCGUUUGUGAAUUUAACAGUAUAAAACAAUUCAAAUCUUAUUAAAUUUUUAUAAAAAAAAAUUUUCACUAUUUAGAAUAAGAUCAGUAUCUCUAAUCUUAAAUUCAAGUCUUUUACCAUUAUGUUUUAUUAGAUUUUUAUUUUCAGCCGUUUAUUUUUAGGCUACUCGUUUAAUUGGUAAAUAAUGUCGAAAAAUUAUGAAAUUUAGUUUCCAAAUACUUUCAAUAGUGUAGAUAAAGUCUAACAGAGCUGAUCGUCAAUUUGAAAACCGCAUAAUUGAAAACAACUUGGUAGCACGGAGGCCUCCGUGCUACUGAUAGUAUACUAGCCACGCUCUCUCUCUCUCUCUCUGUAUAUAUAUAUAUAUAUAUAUAUAUAUAUAUAUAUAAUUGAGCUCCUAUGCUUUUAAAAGUACCAAGUCAUUAGUAGUUGUAAGUUUUCGGUCCUUGAAUUAAAGGAUGUGCGGUUAGGAUGAUGUGGGUCCCUUUGGAUUAAAAGUUUUCGGUGCUUUUAAAAGCACCAUAGCCAGACUCUAUAUAUAUAUAUAUACUAGUUGAGCAUACGUGCAACUGCACGUAACAAUUAUUUUAAUUUAUUUUAAAUCAAUAAACAUUUGUAAAUCAUAUUUAUUCAAAAAUUUAGAAUAAAAUAUUUUCUAAAUUUAUAUGUUUCAUCUUAUUAGAAAAUAUCUACAAUAUCAAAUAGAUGGAUAGAUUUGAUAUCAAAAAUUAAAAAUUAAAUUUAAUUCACAAUUUAAACUCAAAUUUAAAUUUUAAUGUACAAUAAAUGGAUAAAAAUACUACUUUUUAACAGAUUGAACAUAAUAAUUCAUUUUUAUUUUUAAUAUUUUUAACCAAUUGAUCAUAACCGUUCGUAGAAUUGAAGUUAUAGAUAGGUAUGAAUGUUUUUUUUUAACAAAUUGAUCAUAAUCGUUUAUUUUUAUUUGAGAUAAUUUUUUACAAAUUGAUCAUAAAUUUGUAUAUCAUAUUAAUUCAAAAUUAUGAUUUACAAAUUUAUCAACUAAUCUAUCUUUUAAAUUAUUUCCAUUGUAAUAUAUAGAUAGUCCCAAAUUUUAAAUUUUAAAUUAAUUUUAUAUUUUGAAUUGAAAUAUAGAUUUACAGUAGCAAAAAUUUGGAUAAGUAUGAUUUUUUUUUCUAUUUUAGAGAUAAAAAAUUUUAAUAAAAUUUUAAUUAAAAUAUAGAUUCACAGUAAAUAUCUUUCGGUUGGCAAAAAUUUGGAUAAGUAUAUUUUUUUUCUAUUUUAGAGAUAAACAGAAAUUAAAAGUUUGUUUCAUUACGUUAUUUAUUUUACGUAAGGAAAAAGAAAAUAAUAUUUUUUUUCCGCCAAAAAAUGGGUCUGUCGACAGACCCAAAUUUAAAAUACGUGCUUUUAUAUAUAGUAUAGAUAUUGGGUUGAUUUUUAUCAAUUAAAUUACAAUUUUUAUCAAUCCAUUGAUGAUUUCAAAAUUUAAAAAUUUUAAUUACUUCGUAGAAGUUAAAAUAAAAAAAUAGUAAUAAUUAAUAGUUUACAGAGCAAUCUAAGUUAAAUAAAAUUUUAAAUAUAACUAACUAAAAUAAAUAAUUAUCAAAAGUUAGGAGCUAAAUAGGACUAAGGAUGCGUUUGAUUUGGGUUAUCCUGUCUGGAUUACAAACAAUCCUGCUAGGAUUACUGCUUUUGGUUCAUCCUAUGGGUGUGUUUGGUUCGAAGUCGGAGUCGGAAUCGGAAACGGAAUCAAAAUAAGCUGGAAUCGAAAUCAGAAUGACUCAUUAUCUAAUUCUGUUUAGUUCAUCACCUGAAUCGGAAUCGGAAUAAAUCAUUCCUAUUGUCGCUAUUUGGUUGAGUUGGAUAUAAAAAACAUAAUCAAAUUAAUAUACUAACAUUAUCUUUAUAAUAUAUUAAUUUAAAUUCAAAUUAAAAAUUAAAUAUUAUAAAUUUACAUCAAAAUUUUAAAAUAAUGUCAAAAUUUUAAAUCUAUUUUUUUUAAAAAAAAUUAAACUUU